GUAUUGAUUGCGUGUGACCGCAAAAUAAAUAAAUAAAAAGAACAUUCUACACUGUAUCAAGUUUUAUGUGAAAACGCAAGCCCUCCUGCAAAGGGGGGCCCACGCGGUGAUGCACAAAAGGGGUGAGAUGGAUUGUGUGAGAGCACCAAGGUGUGCACGACCUUUUCAAAAGUCAGCGACAACCCCAGCACCUCCAUUGUAUGAUAAUGAUCCUUCCGCAGGUUCACCUACGGAAA
rnacentral:misc_RNA from 1 species